rnacentral:rRNA from 1 species
CCUACGGGAGGCAGCAGUGAGGAAUAUUGGUCAAUGGGCGGGAGCCUGAACCAGCCAAGUCGCGUGAGGGAAGACGGUCCUAUGGAUUGUAAACCUCUUUAGGCGGGGAGCAAUGCCGGGCACGUGUGCCCGGAGGGAGAGUCCCAGCAAAAUCAGCAUCGGCUAACUCCGUGACAGCAGCCGCGGUAAUACGGAAGAUGCGAGCGUUCUGCGGAUGUAUUGGGUUGAUAGUGUGCGUAGGCGGAUUUUUGAGGCAGGGGGAAAAUUUCCGGGCGAAACCCGGGCCGGCCGUUGAAACUGGGGAUCUUGAGUGCGCGAGAAGUAUGCGGAAUGCGUGGUGUAGCGGGGAAAUGCAUAGAUAUCACGCAGAACUCCGAUUGCGAAGGCAGCAUACCGGCGCCCGACUGACGCUGAGGCACGAAAGCGUGGGGAUCGAACAGGAUUAGAUACCCCUGUAGUC